rnacentral:misc_RNA from 1 species
CGAGAGAGAUGAACCAUGAACCAAAAACGAAGGGACGCACACAUGCGCAAGUCCUCUCUUCACUGAACCCUCCCCCCACCCCACCUACACAUACACAAACACAUGGGCUCCGAGCAGGGCGCAGGAGCGAAGUCGGCGUGCCGUAAUUAUUUCAGUUUUUCUACAAGUCUGCAAGACGCCAGCACUCGUGAAAGGUUCUCCUCUCUUCCGUAAUAUCAACGGUGUCUAUGUCCAUGGAUGUCCCGCCCACCUCCUUGGUUUCUCUUUCCGUUGAGGAUGGACACGCCAAAUAGGCAAGCGGGCAUGAUUGAAAGAGAAGAGGGGAGUGCCAAGGCGGGAGGGAGGGAAGGGGAGGGGGCGGCAUACGAAAAAAAAAGAAAGUGCACCGCUGACGUCGUGCAUACAGACACAAUGGUGAAGGAGUCGCAGCAUCCGCAUCCAUGUUGUCGUCUCUUAAAGAGCGAUAUCAGAAGAGAGCAUGCACGCGCACACGCACAGACACAGACACACACACACACACAGAAAGAACUCAAACGUAAGAACAGCAAAAACAACAACCCACACACACACACACACACACCAAUCGAAAAACCUCUUCCGAACAAGCAAGCGGAACACGCCGCGAGGAGCUCAAAACGCACCCUCACCCCCCCCCCCCCCCGGGGGGGGGAGGGAUCGGGCAGGCAAGGCGAGACUCAGCAUGCCUCGACAGAGGAAAAACUGUGACGGAUCGAAAAGCGCAGUGACUGGAAGCUGGUGUGUGUGUGCGUGUGUGUGUCUGUGUGUGUCUGUGUCGCGCGAAAGGGCAGAUGGGGAGGAGAGAAGCGUCUAAAGGACGAAGAGCGGGAAGGGGAGGCGGAGGGAGGAGCGCAUGUGGCGCACGCGCCUCAUUCAUCGCCCUUUGCUUGCGACGCCGCUGCCGAGGGAACCUGGCGUAGCGCAGCCUCUCUCUCUCUGAAUCUCCUUCUCCAAGUGCCUCACCGCUACUUUUCUCCCCUGACUCUUCUCGUGGUGCGCCUCGACCCUCCUCCAGCGGUGCCUGCGCCAACAGCCGUCUUUGAGCCUUCGCCACGGCUUCCCCUUUGGUGUGCGAAAAAAAAGGCGUGAGAGGCGCGGUCUCGCGUAGCCCUUGCCAGGCAGUACACAAACGCAUCCCUGCGUCUGGGCUGCUGUGUGCGCACGCCCAAAGGCCGCCGACAAGCGCAGGCGACUUGCAGCCGGCACGACCAGAUGGCUGGAACUAUCCUUGCAUGCAACGCUCCACGGACUUCAGCCUUCGAGCUCAAACGUUCAUGGCGCUUUCACCUCUGUCGCUGCUCGCAAUAUUUUCUCUCCGUUUUUGCACUUGAAACACUCUGUUGCGCGUUCUGGUGAGCGAUUUUCACAUGACCCUUCUACGCCGUCCUGCUCCGCGCGUGGCGGCACUUUUUUUUUUCUCCGUAAUUGUCAUUCACUGCCAUGCAG